CUGGCUCUUAUGACCCCCAUAGCAAGGGGGGAGGCACCCCCCGCGAGGCGGGAACUGAGAGCCAGCCCCACUUCCCCCCUGGCUCUUGGGACCCCCAUCGCUGGGGGGAGGCACCCCCCGCGAGGCGGGGACUGAGAGCCAGCCCCUCUUCCCCCCCUGGCUAAGACCCCCAUCGCGAAUCCUAAGAUCCUUAGGACCCACCUGGAGGACCCUGGGUAUUAGGUGUCCAAGAAGAAAGCUCAGAUCUGCCGACCGCAGGUACCUUACUUGGGAUUUACUAUACCACAGGGGUCCGAACGCAGCCCGGGAUCAGGAAGAAAGCAGGUCGUUUGCAAUCUACCGGAGCCUAAGGGCAGAAGGCAGGAUCGUGGGAACAAUAUCCCAGGGGGGUUUCCACUUUCUGCCAUAUAUGUAGUCACAUCGCCCACUCCGCCUUGGAAUAUUAUUAAGGACCAUCUAACACGAGGGUGUAUACGUCCUGCGAUAUUACGAGUAAUAUCAACUUCUUGGCCUCUGAAUAUGAGGAAGAAUAUCACAGGGGGUCCGAAUGCAGCCCGGGAUCACAAAGAAAGCAGGUCGUUUGCAAUCUACCAGAGCCUAAGGGCAGAAGGCAGGAUAUUAAUAACAAUUUCACAGGCUGGGUGAACACAGCCGGCGAUGCUGAAAUUAUUAUCAUCCUCUCCCCCUCUUCCCCUCCUGGCUCUCAGUCCCCGCCUCACGGGUUAUGUAGCGGGUUAUGGCAAGAAGACAAACUGCAGUUUCCUGCACAGAACAGCACAAACAAUGAUCCAAGCUCAGUUACAACACAAUAUUGGUCAUCAUUUGACCAUGGACUUCAAUAUCAACCCUUAGAAACCUUCCUAAAACAGGUCAGCAAAACACCAAGAAGCAAUAUCCUGAAUGAUAGGAAAAUAUCCUUGCUUGUGCAAAUUGUUUCCACUUAAUUUUUUUCAACAAAUGUUAAUUAUAUUUUUACUUUCUAAAAAUUUUUAAUAAAAUAUAGCCUACUUGGUUAAAAAUGGUGUCAAAGCUUUUCUAAAAGUUAAGGCAUUACAUAAUUCAGUGGCCCCUGUGGCUGCCAUG
rnacentral:lncRNA from 1 species